rnacentral:rRNA from 1 species
GACGAACGCUGGCGGCGUGCUUCAUACAUGCAAGUCGAACGAGAAAGUUUCCUUCGGGAGACGAGUAAAGUGGCGGACGGGUGCGUAACACGUGGGUAAUCUGCCUUGAAGUCUGGAAUAACCUUCCUAACGGAGGGCUAAUACCGGAUGUGUUCGUCGGAGGACAUCCUUUGACGAAUAAAGAUGGCGUGUUGAACGCUGUCGCUUUAAGAUGAGCCCGCGUCCUAUUAGCUAGUUGGUGGGGUAACGGCUCACCAAGGCUGCGAUGGGUAGCCGGCCUGAGAGGGUGACCGGCCACAUUGGGACUGAGAUACGGCCCAGACUCCUACGGGAGGCUG